rnacentral:rRNA from 1 species
AUGGCCGAGUACGAGGAGGGCUACGAGGGCAACGGCGACCCCGCCGCCGCCGCCGCCGCCGUCACCGGAGGUUCCCCGCCGACCAAGCCCUCCGGUUUCUCCGACCAACCCGACGGUCGCUCCCAGCAGGAGGUACAGCCACAUGAGGGAAGGUCCUCAAAAUCUAGAGAGAGGGACAGAGGACGAGAGAAGGACAAGGACAAGGAGCGUGAUAGAGAACAUGGAAGAGAUAGAGAAAGGGGCCGUGAUAAGGACAGGGAGAGGGACCGGGGUGACCGGGACCGGGAACGCGACCGCCACCAUAGGGAGCACCGUGAAAGAAGUGAAAAAAGGGAGCACUGUGGCCAUUCUGAUGACCAUGAUCGUCAUCGCAGCCGUGACCGUGAUAUUGAAAGAAGAGACCGUGACAAGGAUGGCCAUCGCAGGCAUCGCUCCCGCUCCCGUUCUAAGGGUCGUGAACGCAGAUCCAGAUCUCGUUCGCGUUCUCGUUCAAAGAGCAAGCGGGUGAGCGGAUUUGACCAGGGACCAUCGCAAGCCAUUCCUAUGGUCACUCCUGGCGCGACCCCAGGUCAGCUGCCCGCAGUUGCCCCUCUUAUUACUGGGAUGCUUCCAAACAUGUUUAAUUUCACUGCUCCUACGCAGUUCAAUCCUCUAGUUAUGCAACCACAGGCCAUGACACAACAGGCUACCCGGCAUGCUAGGCGUGUUUAUGUUGGUGGACUUCCACCAACUGCCAAUGAGCAGACAGUUGCUAUAUACUUCAAUCAAGUUAUGGCUGCUAUUGGAGGAAACACAGCUGGUCCUGGUGAUGCUGUUCUUAAUGUAUACAUAAACCAUGACAAGAAAUUUGCUUUUGUGGAGAUGAGGUCUGUGGAGGAAGCAAGCAAUGCAAUGGCCUUAGAUGGUAUAAUGUUUGAGGGAGCACCGGUGAAAGUUAGAAGGCCAACAGACUAUAAUCCUUCCCUGGCUGCUGCACUGGGUCCAAGCCAGCCAAACCCUAAUCUAAAUCUUGGUGCUGUUGGCUUGACACCUGGCUCAGCUGGAGGUUUAGAAGGCCCUGAUCGCAUCUUUGUGGGUGGCCUCCCGUACUACUUCACCGAGGCUCAAGUGCGGGAGUUGCUUGAAUCCUUUGGACCGUUGCGAGGAUUUGAUCUUGUGAAGGAUAGGGAGACAGGCAACUCGAAAGGAUAUGCCUUCUGUGUAUACCAGGAUCUUAAUGUCACAGACAUUGCCUGUGCUGCCCUGAAUGGUAUCAAGAUGGGAGACAAGACCCUCACUGUUAGGCGAGCAAAUCAAGGCACUUCUCAACCAAGGCCAGAGCAAGAAACCAUCCUGUUGCACGCACAACAACAAGUGCAGAUGCAGAAACUCGUGCUACAAGUUGGAGGGGCUCUACCGACAAAGGUGGUAUGCCUGACCCAGGUGGUUUCAGCAGAUGAACUGAGAGAUGAUGAGGAAUACGAGGAUAUUUUCGAAGACAUGAGGGAAGAAGGGCGCAAAUAUGGUAACUUGGUUAAAGCUGUCAUCCCACGACCUGACCCCAGCGGCGCUGCUGUUCCUGGAGUUGGAAAGGUGUUUCUGGAAUAUGCAGAUAUCGACGGCUCGACCAAGGCGAAGGUCGGGAUGCAUGGCAGGAAGUUUGGCGGGAACCAGGUGGUGGCCGUGUUCUACCCUGAAAACAAGUUUGCUGAUGGAGAUUACGAUGAUUAG